rnacentral:lncRNA from 1 species
UAUGACGGAGAGGUAUCUCUGGGCCCACUCGGUAAUGCAUCAUCAUAAUGAGCUCAAAGUGACCAAGGUGUUGGCCACGGGAUCAUGCAUUGCGGUACGAGUAAAGUGACUUGCCGGUAACGAGACUGAACAAGGUAUUGGGAUACCGACGAUCGAGUCUCGGGCAAGUAACGUACCGAUUGACAAAGGGAAUUGCAUACAGGGUUUGAUCGAAUCCUCGACAUCGUGGUUCAACCGAUGAAAUCAUCGAGGAGCAUGUGGGAGCCAACAUGGGUAUCCAGAUCCUGCUGUUGGUUAUUGCCCGAGAGUCGUCUCGGUCAUGUCUGCGUGUCUCCCGAACCCGUAGGGUCUACACACAUAAGGUUCGGUGACGCUAGGGUUGUAUGAAUAUGAGUAUGCAGCAUACCGAAUGUUGUUCGGAGUCCCGGAUGAGACCCCGGACAUCACGAGGAGUUUCGGAAUGGUCCGGAGGGAAAGAAUAAUAUAUAGGAAGUGGUAUUUCGGCCAUCGGGAAAGUUUCGGGGUCUCCCGGUAAUGUACCGGGACCACCGGAAGGGUCCCGGGGGUCCACCGGGUGGGUCCACCCAUCCCGGAGGGCCCCAUGGGCUGAAGUGGGAGGGGAACCAGCCCAUAGUGGGCUGGUGCACCCCCCUAGGCCCACCCCCUGCGCCUAGGGUUGAAACCCUAGGGGUGGGGGGGCUCCCCACUUGGCUUGGGGGGCACUCCUCCCCCUUGGCCGUCGCCCCCCCUUGGAGAUUGGAUCUCCAGGAGCCGGCGCCCCCCUGGAGGCCUAUAUAAAGGGGGGAGGGAGGGGGGGCUGCUGUACCCUUGUGCUUGGCGCCUCCCUCCCCCUGCUACACCUCGUCCUCCUCCCGUAGACGCUUGGCGAAGCCCUGCUGGAGUUCUGCUGCAUCCACCACCACGCUGUCGUGCUGCUGGAUCAUUAUCAACCUCUCCUUCCCCCUUGCUGGAUCAAGAAGGAGGAGACGUCUCCCGUCCCGUACGUGUGUUGAACGCGGAGGUGCUGUCCGUUCAGCACUUGGACAUCGGUGAUCUGAAUCACGUCGAGUACGACUCCAUCAUCACCUUGCAAGCUUCCGCACGCGAUCUACAAGUGGUAUGUAGAUGCAAACUCUCUCCCAUGACUCGUUGCUUAGAUGAACUCAUAGAUGGAUCUUGGUGAAACCGAAGGAAAAAUUUUAAUUUUCUGCAACGUUCCCCAACAGUGGCAUCAUGAGCUAGGUCUAUGCGUAGUUCUCUAAUGCACGAGUAGAACACAAUUUGUUGUGGGCGUGGAUCUUGUCAACUUACUUGCCUAUACUAGUCUUUUCUUGCUUCAACGGUAUUGUGGGAUGAAGCGGCCCGGACCAACCUUACACGUACGCUUACGUGAGACCGGUUCCACCGAUUGACAUGCACUAGUUGCAUAAGGUGGCUGGCGGGUGUCUGUCUCUCCCACUUUAGUUGGAGCAGAUUCGAUGAACAUGGCCCUUAUGAAGGGUAAAUAGUAGUUGACAAAAUCACGUUGUGGUUAUUCGUAGGUAAGAAAACGUUCUUGCUAGAACCCAAUUGCAGCCACGUAAAAGAUGCAACAACAAUUAGAAGACGUCUAACUUGUUUUUGCAGCGAUUGAUCAUGUGAUGUGAUAUGGCCAGAAGUUGUGAUGAAUGAUGAAUUGUGAUGUAUGAGAUCAUGUUCUUGUAAUAGGAUUCACGACUUGCAUGUCGAUGAGUAUGACAACCGGCAGGAGCCAUAGGAGUUGUCUUUAUUUUUUUAUGACCUGCGUGUCAUUGAAGAACGCCAUGUAAACUACUUUACUUUAUUGCUAAACGCGUUAGCCAUAGAAGUAGAAGUAGUCGUUGGCGUGACAACUUCAUGAAGACACGAUGAUGGAGAUCAUGAUGAUGGAGAUCAUGGUGUCAAGCCGGUGACAAGAUGAUCAUGGAGCCCCGAAGAUGGAGAUCAAUGGAGCUGUAUGAUAUUGGCCAUAUCAUGUCACAACUAUAUAAUUGCAUGUGAUGUUUAUUAUGUUUAUGCAUCUUGUUUACUUAGGACGACGGUAGUAAAUAAGAUGAUCCCUUACAAAAAUCUCAAGAAGUGUUCUCCCCUAACUGUGCACCGUUGCUACAGUUCGUCGCUUCUAAGCACCACGUGAUGAUCGGGUGUGAUGGAUUCUUACGUUCACAUACAACGGGUGUAAGACAGUUUUACACAGCGAAAACACUUAGGGGUAACUUGACGAGCCUAGCAUGUACAGACAUGGCCUCGGAACACGGAGACCGAAAGGUCGAACACGAGUCGUAUGGAAGAUACGAUCAACAUGAAGAUGUUCACCGACGAUGACUAGUCCGUCUCACGUGAUGAUCGGACACGGGCUAGUCGACUCGGAUCGUGUAACACUUAGAUGACUAGAGGGAUGUCUAAUCUAAGUGGGAGUUCAUAAUUUUGAUUAGAACUUUAUUAUCAUGAACUUAGUCUAAAACCUUUGCAAAUAUUUCUUGUAGAUCAAAUGGCCAACGCUCAUGUCAACAUGAACUUCAACGCGUUCCUAGAGAAAACCAAGCUGAAAGAUGAUGGCAGCAACUAUACGGACUGGGUCCGGAACCUGAGGAUCAUCCUCAUAGCUGCCAAGAAACAAUAUGUCCUAGAAGCACCGUUAGGUGACCCACCAGUUCUCCCAGCACUGCAAGACGAUUUGAACGUUUGGCAGACACGUGUUGAUGAUUACUCCCUCGUUUAAUGCGGCAUGCUUUACAGCUUAGAACCGGGGCUCCAAAAGCGUUUUGAGCAUCACGGAGCAUAUGAGAUGUUCGAAGAGCUGAAACUAGUUUUCCAAGCUCAUGCCCGGGUCGAGAGAUAUGAUGUCUCCGACAAGUUCUAUAGUUGUAAGAUGGAGGAAAAUAGUUCUGUCAGUGAGCACAUCCUGAAGAUGUCUGGGUUGCACAACCGUAUGACCCAGCUGAACAUUAACCUCCCAGAUGAGGCGGUCAUUGACAGAAUCCUCCAGUCGCUCCCACCAAGCUACAAGAGCUUUGUGAUGAACUACAACAUGCAGGGGAUGGUAAAGACCAUUCCUGAAGUGUUCUCGAUGCUGAAGUCAGCAGAGGCUGAAAUCAAGAAAGAACAUCAAGUGUUGAUGGUCAAUAAGACCACUAAGUUCAAGAAGGGCAAGGGUAAGAAGAACUUCAAGAAGGACGGCAAAGAUGUUGUCGCGCCCGGUAAGCCUGUUGCCGGGAAGAAGUCAAAGAAUGGACCCAAGCCUGAGACUGAGUGCUUUUAUUGCAAGGGGAAGUGUCACUGGAAGCGAAACUGCCCCAAAUACUUAGCGGAUAAGAAGGCCGGCAACACCAAAGGUAUAUUUGAUAUACAUGUAAUUGAUGUGUACCUUACCAGUACUCGUAGUAACUCCUGGGUAUUUGAUACCGGUGCCGUUGCUCAUAUUUGUAACUCACAGCAGGAGCUGCGGAAUAAACGGAGACUGGCAAAGGACGAGGUGACGAUGCGCGUCGGGAAUGGUUCCAGAGUCGAUGUGAUCGCCGUCGGCACGCUGCCUCUACAUUUACCCACGGGAUUAGUUUUGAACCUUAAUAAUUGUUAUUUAGUGCCAAGUUUGAGCAUGAACAUUGUAUCUGGAUCUCGUUUGAUACGAGAUGGCUACUCAUUUAAGUCUGAGAAUAAUGGUUGUUCGAUUUAUAUGAGAGAUAUGUUUUAUGGUCAUGCUCCGAUGGUCAAUGGUUUAUUCUUAAUGAAUCUCGAGGAUAAUAUUACACAUGUUCAUAGUGUGGAUGCAAAAAGAUGUAAAGUUGAUAACGAUAGUCCCACAUACUUGUGGCACUGCCGCCUUGGUCACAUUGGUGUCAAGCGCAUGAAGAAGCUCCAUGCUGAUGGACUUUUAGAGUCUCUUGAUUAUGAAUCGUUUGACACAUGCGAACCAUGCCUCUUAGGCAAAAUGACCAAGACUCCGUUCUCCGGAACAAUGUAGCGAGCAACCAACUUGUUGGAAAUCAUACAUACCGAUGUGUGCGGUCCAAUGAGCGUUGAGGCUCGCGGAGGAUAUCGUUAUGUUCUCACUCUCACUGAUGACUUAAGUAGAUAUGGGUAUGUCUAUUUAAUGAAACACAAGUCUGAGACCUUUGAAAAGUUCAAGGAAUUUCAGAAUGAGGUGGAGAAUCAACGUGACCGAAAGAUAAAGUUCCUACGAUCAGAUCGUGGAGGAGAAUACUUGAGUCACGAAUUUGGUACACACUUAAGGAAAUGUGGAAUCGUUUCACAACUCACGCCGCCUGGAACACCUCAGCGAAACGGUGUGUCCGAACGUCGUAAUCGCACUCUAUUGGAUAUGGUGCGGUCUAUGAUGUCUCUUACCGAUUUACCGCUGUCAUUUUGGGGAUACGCUCUAGAGACAGCUACAUUCACUUUAAAUAGGGCACCGUCUAAAUCCGUUGAGACGACACCAUAUGAACUAUGGUUUGGGAAGAAACCUAAGCUGUUGUUUCUAAAAGUUUGGGGAUGCGAUGCUUAUGUCAAGAAACUUCAACCUGAAAAGCUCGAACCCAAGUCGGAAAAAUGCAUAUUCAUAGGAUACCCUAAGGAAACUGUCGGGUAUACCUUCUACUUAAGAUCCGAGUGCAAGACCUUUGUUGCCAAGAACGGAUGCUUUCUGGAAAAAGAGUUUCUCUCGAAAGAAGUAAGUGGGAGGAAAGUAGAACUCGAUGAAGUACUACCUCUCGAACGGGAAAGUGGUGCAGCUCAGGAAAGUGUUCCUGUUAUGCCCACACCAACUGAAGAGGAAACCAAUGAUGAUGAUCAAGGUACUUCGGAUCAAGUUGCUACUGAACUUCGUAGGUCCACAAGGACACGUUCCGCACCAGAGUGGUACGGCAACCCUGUCUUGGAAAUCAUGUUGUUAGACAACGGUGAACCUUCGAACUAUGAAGAAGCGAUGGCGGGCCCAGAUUCCAACAAAUGGCUUGAAGCCAUGAAAUCCGAGGUAGAAUCCAUGUAUGAAAACAAAGUAUGGACUUUCACAGACUUGCCCGAUGAUCGGCGAGCGAUAGAAAACAAAUGGAUUUUUAAGAAGAAGACGGACGCGGAUGGAAAUGUUACCAUUUAUAAGGCUCGACUUGUCGCUAAGGGUUAUCGACAAGUUCAAGGGAUUGACUACGAUGAGACAUUCUCUCCCGUAGCGAAGCUGAAGUCCGUCCGAAUCAUGUUAGCAAUUGCCGCAUACUAUGAUUAUGAGAUAUGGCAGAUGGCGUCAAAACGGCAUUCCUUAACGGACAUCUUAAGGAAGAGCUAUAUAUGAUGCAGCCGGAAGGUUUUGUCGAUCCUAAGAACGCUAACAAAGUAUGCAAGCUCCAGCGAUCCAUUUAUGGACUGGUGCAAGCAUCUCGGAGUUGGAACAUUCGCUUUGAUGAGAUGAUCAAAGCGUUUGGGUUUAUGCAGACUUAUGGAGAAACCUGCGUUUACAAGAAAGUGAGUGGGAGCUCUAUAGUAUUUCUCCUAUUAUAUGUAUAUGACAUACUCUUGAUGGGAAAUGAUACAAAACUUCUGGACAGCAUUAAGGCCUACUUGAAUAAGUGUUUUUCAAUGAAGGACCUUGGAGAAGCUGCUUAUAUAUUAGGCAUCAAGAUCUAUAGAGAUAGAUCCAGACGCCUCAUAGGUCUUUCACAGAGCACAUACCUUGAUAAGAUUUUGAAGAGGUUCAAAAUGGAUCAGUCCAAGAAAGGGUUCUUGCCUAUGUUACAAGGUGUGAGAUUGAGCUCAGCUCAGUCACCGACCAUGGCAAAAGAUAAAGAAGAGAUGAGUGUCAUCCCCUAUGCUUCAGCCAUAGGAUCUAUUAUGUAUGCCAUGCUGUGUACCAGACCCGAUGUAAACCUUGCCGUAAGUUUGGUAGCAAGAUACCAAAGUAAUCCCGGCAAGGAACACUGGACAGCGGUCAAGAAUAUCCUGAAGUACCUGAAAAGGACAAAGGACAUGUUUCUCGUUUAUGGAGGAGACGAAGAGCUCGUCGUAAAGGGUUACGUCGACGCUAGCUUCGACUCAGAUCUGGAUGACUCUAAGUCACAAACCAGAUACGUGUAUAUGUUGAAUGGUGGAGCAGUAAGCUGGUGCAGCUGCAAGCAGAGCGUCGUGGCGGGAUCUACGUGUGAAGCGGAGUACAUGGCAGCCUCGGAGGCAGCGCAUGAAGCGAUUUGGGUGAAGGAGUUCAUCACCGACCUAGGAGUCAUACCCAAUGCGUCGGGGCCGAUCAAACUCUUCUGUGACAACACUGGAGCUAUUGCCCUUGCCAAGGAGCCUAGGUUUCACAAGAAGACCAGGCACAUCAAGCGUCGUUUCAACUCCAUCCGUGAAAAUGUUCAAGAUGGAGACAUAGAGAUUUGCAAAGUGCACACGGAUCUGAAUGUCGCAGAUCCGUUGACUAAACCUCUCUCGCGAGCGAAACAUGAUCAACAUCAGAACUCUAUGGGUGUUCGAUUCAUCACAAUGUAACUAGAUUGGUGACUCUAGUGCAAGUGGGAGACUGUUGGAAAUAUGCCCUAGAGGCAAUAAUAAAAGUAUUAUUAUAUUUCAUUGUUCAUGAUAAUUGUCUUUUGUUCAUGCUAUAACUGUAUUAUCCGGAAAUCGUAAUACACAUGUGAACACAUAGACCACAAUAUGUCCCUAGUGAGCCUCUAGUUGACUAGCUCGUUGUGAUCAACAUAUAGUCAUGGUUUCCAGACUAUGGACAUUGGAUGUCGUUGAUAACGGGAUCACGUCAUUAGGAGAAUGAUGUGAUGGACAAGACCCUAUCCUAAGCAUAGCACAAAGAUCGUGUAGUUCGUUUGCUAGAGCUUUGCCUAUGUCAAGUAUCUCUUCCUUCGACCAUGAGAUCGUGUAACUCCCGGAUACCGUAGGAGUGCCUUGGGUGUAUCAAACGUCACAACGUAACUGGGUGACUAUAAAGGUGCAUUACAGGUAUCUCCGAAAGUAUCUGUUGGGUUGACACGGAUCGAGACUGGGAUUUGUCACUCCAUAUGACGGAGAGGUAUCUCUGGGCCCACUCGAUAAUGCAUCAUCAUAAUGAGCUCAAAGUGACCAAGGUGUUGGACACGGGAUCAUGCAUUGUGGUACGAGUAAAGUGACUUGCCGGUAACGAGACUGAACAAGGUAUUGGGAUACCGACGAUCGAGUCUCGGGCAAGUAACGUACCGAUUGACAAAGGGAAUUGCAUACAGGGUUUGAUCGAAUCCUCGACAUCGUGGUUCAACCGAUGAAAUCAUCGAGGAGCAUGUGGGAGCCAACAUGGGUAUCCAGAUCCCGCUGUUGGUUAUUGCCCGAGAGUCGUCUCGGUCAUGUCUGCGUGUCUCCCGAACCCGUAGGGUCUACACACUUAAGGUUCGGUGAUGCUAGG